rnacentral:rRNA from 1 species
UACGAAGGGGGCUAGCGUUGCUCGGAAUCACUGGGCGUAAAGCGCACGUAGGCGGAUCGUUAAGUCGGGGGUGAAAUCCUGGAGCUCAACUCCAGAACUGCCUUCGAUACUGGCGAUCUUGAGUCCGGAAGAGGUGAGUGGAACUCCUAGUGUAGAGGUGGAAUUCGUAGAUAUUAGGAAGAACACCGGUGGCGAAGGCGGCCCGACUGGAGUCGGAUGACCUGACGCUGGAGGUGACGAAGACGUGGGGAGCAAACAGG